AGUCCCGAGGUGUUUAACAUGUUGAAUUGCAAAUUCAGAGAAGCAGCUUCAAUCCUGCCGGGACUU
rnacentral:tRNA from 1 species